CAGCCAUGUGCCUUCCCAGCGAAUAGAGGUUUUCCGGACACCAUUGGCCAUCCUCCAGUGAAGGUAAAAGCAUCUUGUGAAGAAUGGAGUUUUGCCUCUCAUCUCAGUGGAUAUAUCCCCUCUAAAAAAAAAUCAGAACAAGACUUAUCCUCGCCAAAAAAUGGAGAGUCACUGAACUAUAUUGAAGAAAACAUGCUCUCAAUUGCAACAGAACAUUGAGCUUAUUUCCUUUCAGAAGCACAUUUUUCUUUAUUAAAAUUAUGGAUGUAGAACAA